UGGCGGACGGGUGAGUAACACGUAUGCAACCUGCCCGUCUCAGGGGGAUAAUCGUCGGAAACGGCGUCUAAUACCCCGUAUGAAGCUGGAUGGCAUCGUCUGGUUUUGAAAGAAUAUCGGAGACGGAUGGGCAUGCGGCGCAUUAGCUAGUUGGCGGGGUAACGGCCCACCAAGGCGACGAUGCGUAGGGGUUCUGAGAGGAAGGUCCCCCACACUGGUACUGAGACACGGACCAGACUCCUACGGGAGGCAGCAG
rnacentral:rRNA from 1 species